GAUGAACGCUGGCGGCGUGCCUAAUACAUGCAAGUCGAGCGAACAGACGAGGAGCUUGCUCCUCUGACGUUAGCGGCGGACGGGUGAGUAACACGUGGAUAACCUACCUAUAAGACUGGGAUAACUUCGGGAAACCGGAGCUAAUACCGGAUAAUAUAUUGAACCGCAUGGUUCAAUAGUGAAAGACGGUUUUGCUGUCACUUAUAGAUGGAUCCGCGCCGCAUUAGCUAGUUGGUAAGGUAACGGCUUACCAAGGCAACGAUGCGUAGCCGACCUGAGAGGGUGAUCGGCGACACUGGAACUGGGACACGGUCCAGACUCCUACGGGAGGCAGCAGUAGGGAAUCUUCCGCAAUGGGCGAAAGCCUGACGGAGCAACGCCGCGUGAGUGAUGAAGGUCUUCGGAUCGUAAAACUCUGUUAUUAGGGAAGAACAAAUGUGUAAGUAACUAUGCACGUCGUGACGGUACCUAAUCAGAAAGCCACGGCUAACUACGUG
rnacentral:rRNA from 1 species